UUUUGGCAGAGGUCUCCAAGUAGCUGUACUUCUAAUUAGGGCCAUUAAACAAGGUUAUAGGGUCCUUUAAGUGUCUGAUGAUGAGCUGAACACACUGUCUCUAUUCAUGAAAAAAACACCAGUUAGAUGACGAAGCAAGAAUCAGAGGAAAAAAAACCCGUUUUUAGUAUUUAAUGUACAAGUCCUAUUCUGUUUCUAUUAACAUUUGAGUGCUUCCUGAGGGGUUAGUACAUGAUCACUGAGUUCUCAUAAAAAGCCUAAGCAUGGAUAUUAUUUACUUGGUCCACAAGAGUAAAUGGGCCUUAGAAAGCUUAAGUGACCUUUCCAUUGCUACCCAGUGAGCGUUGAGCCACGUUUGAACCUAGUUCUACUGACUGAACGGGGAAGCACUCUCAAGCGAGCUUUGUCCACGCUGGUGUGUCUUCCGACCAGUGCCUGCAUCGUGUUACUAAUGCCACAUGUUACUGGCCCUUAGGAGAGAAGUACAGAUACUGAUAGGAAGCAUUUAGAAAUUUUGAAAGCAACUUGUUGGAGUCAUUUUGAUUCUAUUGAAUCUAAUUUUUAAAAAAUAGGGCUUGUAUUUUGUGUCAUUUUAUAAUUCAUUUGUCUAGGAAUUCACUUUUUUUUUUUUCAUAUCAUAGACACUAUAUGAUCAUCUGAAAAUAAAAACCCAGCCCUUGACUACAGAUAGCUUGAGAAACUGCACUGGUAUGUGAACGGCAGAGCCUUACUCAAUUACAUACGGAGAACUCGGAUCUUUGCAUUAUCUCUUUCUAGGGGCUACAACUGGCUAAGGCCAAUUUUUACUGGUUUCUUAGGAAAAUUGUUCAGAAUAACAGUACAGAUUUACAGAGUUGCACUGGGAUAACAAGCAAACUUCUAUGCCAAGUAUGUGUUAGCUGUACACCACAGACUUUGGUUCCAUAGCAAAGACGAAUGAGGACAUCUGUACAUGGAACUUGAAUUUUAAAGCAAGAUUCUAAUAGUUAUGUUAAAAAAGCAUUCAAGAUUUUUAAUUGUCCCUAAGAAUACUAAUAAGUGAAGAAAUUCGGUGAAAGUAGCAGACUCAGGUGACUAGCACUAAAAACAUACCAUUAAAAUACUAGUAAGACUUUUUAAAGAAUUUUCUAAACCUGUCAACUGUCCUUAAAAGAUGAAGUAGGGCUUUGCACUAGAGAUGAUUCAAGAAUGUUUUCAAAAUGGGAGUGGGGCCACGCAGGAGUUUGCCAAUUAAUUUCAGACCUUUGAAAUACUGUAUAACUUCAAGUGUGCUUGCUACUUUUCUGUUAAGUUGUAAAUUGAUAAAAUUUCCUGUUUCUUAAGAAAAACCAUUUGUUUAAGUUUGAAUUAUGUAAGGGCUUUACAAUAAAUAUACCCUCACUUAUUAAUUCUGGCUCAGUAUUACGAUAAGUAUACCCACAAACUGGCAUAAAUAUAUUUUUAUAGAGGAAUAUAGUCAAAAGGUGAAAAUAAUUACUGAACUCUAAGUAUUUGAAACCUUCAAUCAAAAUUGGCUCUUUAGAAACCAGAAAAAACAAUAUUAGGAAGUUUAUCCAGUUUUAUGAUCUGCUCUGGUGUCAUUUAAUGAAUUCUCUGGGACUGCAGUUCCUUUAAGGUGAUGAGUUUACUUUUUUAAAGAAACAGUUGGCAUGUUACACAAAGAGCAGUGCUCCAUAACCACACUUUCCCCCCAUUUCACAGCCAAACGGUUGGCCAGUUUCCAGCAUCUUCCUCACAUUUACCUAUUGUCCAAGUAGCUUCCUGCUCCUUAAACUUUCUGCAUUUUUCUCCCCUAUUUAAAACAAGUGAGGAUAUUAAUUAUAUAUUCGUUUACUGGACUGAUUAUUCUAAGGAUAAGCUCUUAAUUCACUUUGAGGAAAAUGGCUUUGUGUCCCUUUAUACAUGUCAUAUAUGGCCUUUUUAAAAGGAAAGUUGGGUGUGAGCAAAUAGGUAAAACUUUUCUGGCUGCUUGGUAGUAUUAAAACAAGCCCCACAGUUUGCAAGUUGGUGCAGCUGCUAUGGAAAAGUGGAAGUUCCUCAAAAAAUUAAAAAUAGACCCCUUACAACCCAGCAAGUCCACUUCUGGGUAUAUAUCCAAAGAAAUGCAAAACACUAAUUUGAAAAGAUAUAUAUAGCCUUAUGUUCAUUGCAUUAUUUACAAUAGGCAAGAUAUUGAAGCAAUGAAAGUGCCCAUCAAUACACAAGUGGAUAAAAAAAAUGGUAUGUUAUGCAAUGGAAUAUUACUCGGCUAUAAAAAAAGAACGAAUUCUUACUAUAUGUGACAUGGAUGGACCUAGAGGAUAUUAUGCGAAGUAAAAUAAGUCAGAGAAAGACAGAUACCAUAUCAUUUCACUUAUAUGUGGAAUUUCAAGAAAAACUAAACAGUAAUAGACUAACAGUUAUAGAGAACAAAUUGAGGGUUGCCAGAUGGGAGUGGGGUUAGAGGACUGGG